CUCAAAGAUUAAGCCAUGCAUGUCUAAGUAUAAGCAAUUAUACGGCGAAACUGCGAAUGGCUCAUUAUAUAAGUUAUCGUUUAUUUGAUAGUACUUUACUACUUGGAUAACCGUGGUAAUUCUAGAGCUAAUACAUGCUUAAAAUCCCGACUUCGGAAGGGAUGUAUUUAUUAGAUUAAAAACCAAUGCCCUUCGGGGCUCCUUGGUGAUUCAUGAUAACUUCUCGAAUCGCAUGGCCUUGUGCCGGCGAUGGUUCAUUCAAAUUUCUUCCCUAUCAACUUUCGAUGUUUGGGUAUUGGCCAAACAUGGUUGCAACGGGUAACGGAGGGUUAGGGCUCGACCCCGGAGAAGGAGCCUGAGAAACGGCUACUACAUCCAAGGAAGGCAGCAGGCGCGCAAAUUACCCAAUCCCGACUCGGGGAGGUAGUGACAAUAAAUACUGAUACAGGGUUCUUUUGGAUCUUGUAAUUGGAAUGAGUACAAUUUAAAUCCCUUAACGAGGAACAAUUGGAGGGCAAGU
rnacentral:rRNA from 1 species